rnacentral:tRNA from 1 species
ACCCGGGUGGCUCAGUCGGUUAAGCAUCUGACUUCGGCUCAGGUCAUGAUCUCGCGGUUCGUGGGUUCGAGCCCCGCGUCGGGCU